rnacentral:rRNA from 1 species
CAGCAGCCGCGGUAAUACGUAGGUGGCGAGCGUUGUCCGGAAUCAUUGGGCGUAAAGGGAGCGCAGGCGGGCAUGUAAGUCUUUCUUAAAAGUUCGGGGCUCAACCCCGUGAUGGGAAAGAAACUACAUGUCUUGAGUACAGGAGAGGAAAGCGGAAUUCCCAGUGUAGCGGUGAAAUGCGUAGAUAUUGGGAGGAACACCAGUGGCGAAGGCGGCUUUCUGGACUGCAACUGACGCUGAGGCUCGAAAGCCAGGGGAGCGAACGGGAUUAGAUACCCCCGUAGUCCCUGUCUCUUAUACA